rnacentral:rRNA from 1 species
GACGAACGCUGGCGGCGUGCUUAACACAUGCAAGUCGAACGAUGAAGCCGGAGCUUGCUCUGGUGAAUUAGUGGCGAACGGGUGAGUAACACGUGAGUAACCUGCCCUUGACUCUGGGAUAACCGCUAGAAAUGGUAGCUAAUACCGGAUACGACCCUCGGCGGCAUCGCCAGGGGGUGGAAAGAAUUUCGGUCAAGGAUGGACUCGCGGCCUAUCAGCUAGUUGGUGAGGUAACGGCUCACCAAGGCGACGACGGGUAGCCGGCCUGAGAGGGUGACCGGCCACACUGGGACUGAGACACGGCCCAGACUCCUACGGGAGGCAGCAGUGGGGAAUAUUGCACAAUGGGCGCAAGCCUGAUGCAGCAACGCCGCGUGAGGGAUGACGGCCUUCGGGUUGUAAACCUCUUUUAGUAGAGAAGAAGCGAAAGUGACGGUACCUGCAGAAAAAGCACCGGCUAACUACGUGCCAGCCGCCGCAGUAA